rnacentral:rRNA from 1 species
AUACGGAGGGUGCAAGCGUUAAUCGGAAUUACUGGGCGUAAAGCGCGCGUAGGCGGUUUGAUAAGUCGGAUGUGAAAUCCCCGGGCUCAACCUGGGAAUUGCAUUCGAUACCGUCAGGCUCGAGUGUGGUAGAGGGAAGUGGAAUUUCCGGUGUAGCGGUGAAAUGCGUAGAUAUCGGAAGGAACACCAGUGGCGAAGGCGGCUUCCUGGACCAACACUGACGCUGAGGUGCGAAAGCGUGGGGAGCAAACAGGAUUAGAAACCCUAGUAGUCC